UGGACAUGAUGACUGAUUAUCUGAGAAACAGCUGAUGAAAGCUCACGCAAAGCCCUCUAGAUAGUCAAGUUCUGAUCCAG
rnacentral:snoRNA from 1 species